GACAGAGGAUGCAAGCGUUAUCCGGAAUGAUUGGGCGUAAAGCGUCUGUAGGUGGCUUUUUAAGUCCGCCGUCAAAUCCCAGGGCUCAACCCUGGACAGGCGGUGGAAACUACCAAGCUGGAGUACGGUAGGGGCAGAGGGAAUUUCCGGUGGAGCGGUGAAAUGCGUAGAUAUUGGAAAGACCACCAAUGGCGAAGGCACUCUACUGGGCCACUACUGACACUGAGAGACGAAAGCUAGGGGAGCGAAUGGG
rnacentral:rRNA from 1 species